UACGUAGGGCGCAAGCGUUAUCCGGAUUCACUUGGUUUAAAGGGUGCGUAGGUGGGUUUGUAAGUCAGUGGUGAAAUCUCCAAGCUUAACUUGGAAACUGCCGUUGAUACUAUAAAUCUUGAAUGUUGUGGAGGUGAGCGGAAUAUGUCAUGUAGCGGUGAAAUGCUUAGAUAUGACAUAGAACACCAAUUGCGAAGGCAGCUCACUACACAAAGAUUGACACUGAGGCACGAAAGCGUGGGGAUCAAACAGG
rnacentral:rRNA from 1 species